rnacentral:tRNA from 1 species
GCCACGGUGGUUUAGCGGUUAUAACGCUGGCCUUGUAAUCCUGGGGUCUCGGGUUCGAUUCCCGGCGGUGCCC